rnacentral:rRNA from 1 species
CGUAGGUGGCAAGCGUUGUCCGGAUUUACUGGGUGUAAAGGGCGUGUAGGCGGAGAUGCAAGUCAGAUGUGAAAUCUCGGGGCUCAACCCGAAACUGCAUUUGAAACUGCAUCCCUUGAGUAUCGGAGAGGCAGGCGGAAUUCCUAGUGUAGCGGUGAAAUGCGUAGAUAUUAGGAGGAACACCAGUGGCGAAGGCGGCCUGCUGGACGACAACUGACGCUGAGGCGCGAAAGCGUGGGAGCAAACAGGAUU